rnacentral:rRNA from 1 species
AGUGAACGCUGGCGGUAGGCCUAACACAUGCAAGUCGAACGGCAGCACAGUAAGAGCUUGCUCUUACGGGUGGCGAGUGGCGGACGGGUGAGGAAUACAUCGGAAUCUACUUUUUCGUGGGGGAUAACGUAGGGAAACUUACGCUAAUACCGCAUACGACCUACGGGUGAAAGCAGGGGAUCUUCGGACCUUGCGCGAUUGAAUGAGCCGAUGUCGGAUUAGCUAGUUGGCGGGGUAAAGGCCCACCAAGGCGACGAUCCGUAGCUGGUCUGAGAGGAUGAUCGGCAACCCUGAACCUGGGACCCGGUCCGGCUCCUACGGGAGGGCACAGUUGGGAAUAUUGGACCAUGGGGGGAAACCUGAUCCCAGCCUUCCGCGGUGGGUGAGGAAGCCUUCCGGGUUGUAAAGCCCUUUUGUGGGGAAGAAAAACAGCCAGUUAAUACCCCGGUUGUCCGACGGUACCCAAAGGAUUAGCACCGGCCUACCUUCGU